GCCGUACUUAGCCCAGCAAAACCCCAACUCAACUAUCAACCCACAUUAAAACAAAACAUUUACCAACUCAUAAUUAAAGUAUAGGAGAUAGAAAUUCUAACUGGCGCUAUAGAGACAGUACCGCAAGGGAACAAUGAAAGAAAACACCAGAGCAAUGAACAGCAAAGAUUACUCCUUAUACCUUUUGCAUAAUGAUUUAACUAGAGCAAUUUAGCAAAGAGAACUUAAGUUAAACCCCCCGAAACCAGACGAGCUAUUCAUGAGCAGUUUAUGGAACGAACUUCAUCUAUGUGGCAAAAUAGUGAGACGACUUAUGAAUAGAGGUGACAAGCCUACCGAGCCUGGUGAUAGCUGGUUGUCCAGACAAGAAUCUCAGUUCAAAUUUAAACUUACCUAUAAACCUUACAAAUUCCACUGUAAGUUUAAAGAAUAAUCUAAAAAGGUACAGCUUUUUAGACACAGGAUACAACCUUAAUUAGUGAGUAAGCACAAAACCAAUCCAUAGUAGGCCCAGAAGCAGCCACCAAUAAAGAAAGCGUUAAAGCUCAACAACACACCAACCUUAAUCCCUACAGUAUAAGCCAACUCCCAAUACAAACACUGGACCACUCCAUAACCGUAUGGAAGAGAUAAUGUUAAUAUGAGUAACAAGAAAUAAUUCUCCCUGCACAAGCAUAUAUCAGAUCGAAUGCUCACUGAUAGUUAACAAACCACGAAGCAAAUCCAAAAACUAGUUCUUCACCCAACUACUUGUUGACCCAACACAGGAGUGCACCUCAAGGGAAAGAUUAAAACGAAUAAAAGGAACUCGGCAAACACAAACCCCGCCUGUUUACCAAAAACAUCACCUCUAGCAUUACCAGUAUUAGAGGCACUGCCUGCCCAGUGACGUUAGUUCAACGGCCGCGGUAUCCUGACCGUGCAAAGGUAGCAUAAUCACUUGUUCUCUAAAUAAGGACUUGUAUGAAUGGCCACACGAGGGUUUUACUGUCUCUUAUUCGCAAUCAGUGAAAUUGACCUCCCCGUGAAGAGGCGGGGAUACCAAAACAAGACGAGAAGACCCUAUGGAGCUUUAAUUAACUAGCCUAAGAAUAACCAACUUCACCUAAAGGAACAAAAUACUUUCAAAUAGGCUAGCAAUUUCGGUUGGGGUGACCUCGGAGCAUAAAACACCCUCCGAGUGAUUACAAUUCUAGACCUACCGGUCAAAACCAUAUCACUUAUUGAUCCAAAAAUACUUUUGAUCAACGGAACAAGUUACCCUAGGGAUAACAGCGCAAUCCUAUCUUAGAGUCCUUAUCGACGAUUAGGGUUUACGACCUCGAUGUUGGAUCAGGACAUCCCAAUGGUGCAGCAGCUAUUAAUGGUUCGUUUGUUCAACGAUUAAAGUCCUACGUGAUCUGAGUUCAGACCGGAGUAAUCCAGGUCGGUUUCUAUCUGUUUAACGUCUCUCCCAGUACGAAAGGAUAAGAGAGGCAGGGCCAACCUCAAAAAGCGCCCUCGAAAUCAACAGAUGACCUAGUCUCAAUCUGAUACAUCACUAACACCCCUGCCCCAGACCAGGGUUU
rnacentral:rRNA from 1 species